CAAUAGCGUAUAUUAAAGUUGCUGCAGUUAAAAAGCUCGUAGUUGCAUUUCCGAGGCAAGGGAUUAGUCCGACCUUUGGUGGGUAUUUAAUCCUCUUGCCUCGUCCUUGAGUGGUGCUUCUUGGUAUUAAGUUAUCGAGGAGAUAGCCGCUCAUCGUUUACUGUGAGAAAAUUAGAGUGUUCAAAGCAGGCUUAUGCCGUUGAAUAUAUUAGCAUGGAAUAAUAAGAUAGGACCUCGGUACUAUUUUGUUGGUUUGAGAACCAAGGUAAUGAUGAAUAGGGACAGUUGGGGGUAUUCGUAUUCAGUUGUCAGAGGUGAAAUUCUUAGAUUUACGGAAGACGAACUACUGCGAAANCANNNACCAAGGAUGUUUUCAUNAA
rnacentral:rRNA from 1 species